GCAUCUAAACAUGUAUCGAUGCGAGAUAUAUCUUCUGCUAAUCUCACUUAAGAUGUACGUAAUGCCAUUUAUCAACUGAAAUCAGAUAUUAACGUUUUUACAUACGUUUAAUACGAAAGCAUCGGCAAAGACAAAGUCUAAAGUAGUCAUCUGUUAUCGUUUAAAAUCUUAAAACGAGAUUAUAAUUUGUUACGUAUUUCCGGAAUGAAGUAACUUUUAUUAACUGCAACGAAAUAAAACCAUAUAUAGAAUAAAAUUAAAGUAACUAGAGUUUGAACUCACCAAUCGGCUCCACGGUUUGUGGCUCUCGUGGUUCUGGAGCUUUCUCUAAUAUUUCUUCAGCAGUUUCCACACUGACUUUAAACGAACUGUCCGUGACUGUUAGAUUUGUACUGAAAGUAAAUUCAUUGUUCAGAACUACGUGUAGACACGCGAACCUUUUUUUAAUAAUGCAAAUUUAUCAACCAUGCGAUUCCUCCUGCAGGUGUUUCCCGUUUGAUGAGAUUCUGCCAGUGUUGAUGCACCUCUUCCACUAUGUGUAACGCAAAGUCCCUUGGCUUUGCUUCGCCGUUAAAUGCAAACUGGUUCUCUGGUUUACCGUCCGGAAUUUUGUAAAUUUUGAACCACUCGAUUGUUGCUUUCAUCAGGCCAGGAUAAUGUUUCUCAAUGUCCGAUAUAUCUACAAGAAUAUAGCUUGCAUAUACAAUAUAUUCAUCUACGCAAAGAUAAUUAGAAAUUAUACGAGUCAUCUGCUAGGUCACAAACGUGAUUACGCUGUUAUCAGUGCACGGAAGUUGAUUGAGUAAUGCCGUAACAUUUGCAUACGACAGCGACAUAUUUAAUAAUUGACCCAUUCUUUUUGGGUUCAACAGUUCGUGCAGGCAAUUAUGUAACUCAUUUUAUGGCAGAAUACAUUUUAAAUACAACUCUUACCAUUCAUCUGUUCGGCCAAAGGAUCGUUAAUAUCGAUAACUAUGAUCUUCCAAUCAGUUUCGCCUGGAACCAUUAAUAAUCAAUAUUACAACAAAUUUUAGUAAUGCAGAGAAGCAUUUGUUUUUGAUACACACCUUCGUCGAUAAGUGCAACAGCACCAAGAACCUUCGCUUUCAAAACUUCUCCCCUUUUGGCAACCUAGUAGACAAAUUUUUAGUUACAUAUAACAUAAAUGUAGAAAGAACUAAAGAAACUAUGGAGAUAGUGUGCUUACCCUGUACCCGAUCUCAAGGACAUCGAUAGGAUCAUUGUCUCCUUUAUAACCAGUAGCUUCAUCCAACACUUCUGGAUUUUCCCAUGUCUGUUGAAAAAAGAUUCAAAUUAGUUAUGAAAUUAUCUCAACUUGUGUACCCCAAUUGCAAUAGUAAAUUUUGUUUGGAAUUCAUGUGUGUAGGAAGACAGUAGAAUGCCCUUGAACUAAGAUUAAAACUUUACAAUGGAUAUGAUAAGGUAUUAUUCACAGAAUUUUAAUCAGGAUAAGCAUAUCAGUAUUUUUUUUACACAAUAAGCCGGAUAUGAAAUUACUCAUGAUAAUCCAUGAAUUUCGACAAUGGAACUGAUAUUGUUUCUUAUAUUGAAUAAUAUCAUGAGAUAGGUUGUUCGGACAGCAUUGUGUGAUAAACAAAAAUGUGAGAACAAUAUACACUGUAUCAGUGAUCUGAUGAAUAAGGCAGAUUCUUAUCUUAUAAAGCAAUUGUUUUUAUACCUGUGGUAAGGCACCGUAAUUCCAUAUGUAACCAUGAUGUGGGAAGCAAUUGGCGACGUAUCUUAAUUUUCCUUUCUUAAUGUCCUGUUUAAUGGGAUUCAAGGUUUCCUUCAAAUUGAUCUCCAUCUUUGCAUUCGUCCAUCUUGGUAUCUCAACUAUUACGUUAACUACUUUAUUGGCUUCAUCAGCAUAAAGUGGAAUAUCAUGCAUAGGUGAAAUUGGUCCCAAUUCAUUUCCUAUAAUACAUAAGAAAAUUAUAACAAAUCAAAUCCUUUGAAUAUUGCUGUUGUACCAUAUGUUCUUCCAUAAUUUUUCACGAUAAAAAGUAUUUGAAUUUAUGGAAGAUAAGAGGAGAUAACAAGAUGUAAUACCUGAAUAUUCAAAUCAAAGGUAAAUAUAUAUGGAAAAUAGAGUACGGGGAGGCAUUUUCUUUUGACGCAUCUAAAACCUUCAAAUAUUUUCACUGAAACUAGAUUUGUACAAUAUCAAACAGAAUUAAUGGCAACUAACGAUUAAAUAUUCAUCAUCAGUUACAUACAAUUAAUUAAAAUAGGAUUUUAUAACGAAUUUCUAUUCAAGUUUUUUGAAAGCAUACGGUGUAAUUCUUUCAAAUUACAAGCAUGAAUCUAACCGAUUCGGUUCGAAACUCGGAUCGAUAAAUUCUGAACUUAGCUUUCACUGAAAUGAAAUGCCAAGCUGACAUUACACGACGCUAAUUCCACGUGAAACGUGAGAACAGAAAGCAGACAGAGAGAGAGAUCUAUAACGUUCAAAUACUUUCUGUUAGAACGAGAGAGAAUCAGCGGGAAAAAGGUCCCGGUAUGCAAAAUGGAGAGGGAACACGGCUAGUUGUUAUGCAAAAACAGAAAUGUAAAAUAAAUGACGCGUCUAAAAGCAAAACGGUGAUCGCUUUCGAUCGAGUGAAUACGCAUAAUUAUGCGGAUAAUUCGAUGAAUAAAUGCAGAACAGAAAUAGAGGAAGACGACCAACAAAGAAAUCUGCUUGCACGAGGUCGUCGCGGGUGAAGGUUAGCUUAUGUCAUAGUCUACUCACUAAAAUAAAGUCUGUAGUCGGUGCUGUUCAAAGCACCCCGUUCGACCGUCGUGUACGACAUGCUUCUGAGGAAAUUCUUGAACACUGAACAGGAUCGCGAUCCAACGAUACUACCGGAAGCUACCAAUCUGAGCGGCACAGUCAACUUAUUUAAACCUUGGCAACGUAACACGCGCAGCGGUAUCAGCGACAUUCUAACUGAAUCUGACGUGGAGCAUGCGCACUAACAUGCCCGCUAGCGCGCGGAAAAAUAAAAAUCUCCUGUAGCCAGUUAUCAGUAGCGAUAACGUUCACAAACAAAUGUACAUGUCUCAUUCACAUGAACACCGAUUACACAAAUGCAGCGCGAUUUGUUAAUUGAAUCUGAUUGGAAUACAGCUAUUAUCAAUGUAUAUGACUAAUUCACCGGAAGGGAUUACGAUUGAUUUAAAAAGAUCGAUGAUAUUAGUCGUUGAUUAUCGAUUAGGACUUCUAUUUAAGCCUUCUUUUAAGUUGCAAUAAUAAAACAACGAAAUUCGUAGUUCUGUAUCAAAUAUUUAAUCAUUAAUCUACUUGAAUUAAUUGAUCCACAUUGGUCGUCAAUUUGAAAUAAUAACGCAAUAAUGUUACAGCUAACUUAGUCGACGAGAAGAAUGCAAGAACAUAAUGCAGUUCUCUUCACUUUGAUCAUCUGUAAAUUAUUGUAGGGCCGAGAUGAUGAAGUCGAGGAACUCUGUGACCUUGGCGUAGACACCAGGAUAUCCUGCCUCGGCGCAUUUGUAACCGUAAGAAACGACUCCAAUUUGGUAGAAGGUGAACACUUUCGGUAACAUUAGUGGUCCUCCGCUAUCACCCUGGUAAAAAUUCAUUUCUCAUUAAAGUGGAUCUCAAUGAAAUUCAAUCUUAUUUAACAAACAUUUUCUCUACCUGGCAGGCGUCUUUCCCACCCUGAAUGUAUCCAGCACAGAGCACACGGUCGUCGAUGACGGCAUUCGUGAACUUAGAGUAGGCCUGUUGACAGUCUUCGUUGUUGACUAUCGGCAGCUGCACCUCCAGAAGAUCCUCCGAAGACGGCCCCUCUGUAAAAGCGCAGAAACAUAUUAAUUUAAUUAACUUCAUUACCAGAGCAUAAAAAUCUGUAGCUCCAUUCUUUGCUAUUACAGAUUACUUGGAGCGUUAACGAACAAUACUGACUGGUCGACACCGCGCCCCAUCCAGCAAUGAAGGGAUAUUUUCGAUGGAAAUUGCUGCUCCUUAAGGGCUCCUCCACCGGAAGGCAAAUGGGGUACACGUGGCCUGAGAAACCAUAGAACGUGUUAAACAGGAACAAAGGUCGGAAAUGGUAACCAGAUUCCACUUAUGCUAGGCAGCGACUCGUUUCCCAGAAACGCUCGUUACGAGAAAUAUAUUUACGGAUUACGUAAUUGCGCGAGCAAUGAUGCUGACGAUUAUGUUGCGAAUCCGAUUUCAGAUAAGUAGUCGAUACGAUCGAUCAUGCGUUAAUUAUUAGAUAUACAAGUUUUUAUUGCAGAUAUAUUAAAACGGUACCUAGAAGUCCGGUAUUUUAAAAUUAUUCGAAUAAACUACAAUGUAGCAGAGAAGGUAAUCCCGAGACUGCACGAGAAAAAAUAGGAUGAUGACGCAAAGGCAUAGCCAAUAAUUAAUUUGAAUUAUAUACGAGCUGUAGUUGUUGCACGACUACAAUGUUUGCCAUCAUCGUUUCCAUCCUGCAGAAUCUACAAAAAACAUUAUAUGAUCUUGUCAUUGAUAACUCGAUCAAUUCCCCUAGUACAGUUUAGCGCUUGAAUCAAAUUUUUCCAACUCGAAUCGUAAGAAUCACGCGUGUUAUCACGACGCGUGCUACGCAAUCAUUGACUCCGAUCGACCUCUGACAUUAGUCAUAUCAAUGUGAACGUUCCAUCUCUCGAUACGGAGAUCCAAACCUUGGUCUUAUUCGAACGCCAAAGUAGUUCAAGGUAAAGUUACUUCCAGGUAAAAACCCAGACGAACAAGGGCCUCGGUAAAAAUUUCCCUGGCCGGUUUUUUAAAAACAAAAAAUAAUCCAACAGUGCGUUACUAAAACCUCGAAAGCUGCAAUCUAGUUCGCCAACUUCACUUUUCAACCGAGUCCGACCUUUCCUUUUUCGUCGAAGACUUUCCUCGAACGAUAAUGCUCUUUCUCAAUAUUUCAGUCGACGUGUUGCGUAACGGUGUUAAAUCACGUAUUAUUAUCUCAUCUCAAAUGACCGGCUCUGUAAGGAAAUAUUGACUAUUGCUGACAGUAUUUAUCCAUCAUGGAUUCCCCGGGCUAUUCUGUUGGCGCGAAAAGAAUUGGCAAACCAGUAACUCAAAUUUUUCUGUUACAGUUCAGCGAAUCGCUGGGAAAUGGCCUGCAUUUUCCGGUAGGAAGGUGCGCGAAGGUUGUAUGACGGCCUGUGCUUAGGCAUUCGAAGGGCGAACAGACGAUUUGAAACGCAAACCUUGAGCGGAGACCACGAGAACCAACGGAUGCAGCAGGCCAAUUAACACCAAACACCUAGACAGCAUCUUGGAUCACACUGUUCUAAAACAGAAAGAAACCGUGAAAACAAGCAGUCGUUUUCGAAGAAACGCGUCGCAGUUGCAUCCCAAAAUUAUAUCGAUCCGACGCGAGAUAAUUAAUUGCUUCCAACGAGAUCGCUUUUUAAUAUUUCAAUAAUGUUGUUCAGAAAGCCAACGGCACACAAGGACUCAGAACUUGCCGAUAUUAAUUCAAUUAAUCAUCACUGAAAAAUUACUGAUACCGCGCACUUACUAUGGAUCACUGAUAUUCGGAAGCCCGAUCGAUCGGUUGACUCGCCGAUCUGCACGCGUAAAACUGUCUGGGAACUGUCAAAUUAACUUUCACGAACCUUCUUCGGUCGCGUUCGGCGGUCAACUGACAGUUGCGCAUCAACGGUACUUAGUUUUAAGAAAAUAUUACAGACUCUGGCGAGUAACUUGUGUGACGCACGCGCGCUAAUUGUAAUUACCCAGCAUCAGUAGCAGGCAGCAUUACGAGGAUAGAUACGUAAUUAUAAACAUCAGCUAUCAAACGAUCUCUGUUUUUCUCGUGAAUUUAGGGCAGUGAUCUUUAUGUGGCCCCAGCUGCCGAUAAGAGCGCAAUAUUGGAUUAAUUGUCGAGCCAUCGCGUCUGCAAUUAGCACAUGCAUAUGCAAAUAUUUUCGCAAAAAUGCGAGAAGCAAUUGUCAAGAUGUGUCAAAUGUGCAUUUGCAUUAAUUGUUUCCGGAAUUAGAUACUAGAAUAUUUGAUCGAUGUUUCUCGCUGCUGCCAGUCCAAAAUUCCUGCCAUUUGCGUCUAAAUAAUCGCAAAUCUAGGAAUCUUGUAGAUUCUCUCGUAAUUACGAAUUUUUUCUCGUGAACAAGUUGUUGUUCGAAUGCAAACGAUUUGCAUGAUCUUGCUGAUAAAGAUCGUCGAUCGAUCGUCGUUUGCGCAAACAUGGCGCGUACACGCAUCGAAAUUCGUGGAGACAUCAACGCGCGACAGGUAUGUAUUCUGCUCGGCUAACCACGACAUUGAAACGAUGAAAAUUAGGGUACACGUAGUUCUCUAUCAAUUCCGGGCAAUCGGAUUCAUGAGUUUUUCGGUAUUUCCCCCGUACGUCUGGGAGUUCCCAUCAUCUCGUCCAAGGUCGGGUCAAUUAUUAAAUACUUCUCGGUAUUGUGUAAACUGUCGCGAAGCUAAUUUUGCAAUCCAAUGAAUUUUAGGAUGUUACGGUACAGCGAGAAGAGGAUCCGACAUAAUAGAGCACCUGAACAAAGGAAAAUGGUAAUACACUGAUCAAGGUCACUCGAAGGUCGCUCUAUUACCUUCUAAAUGAGCUAAAUAAAAAAUAAAUUAGAAACUAGGAAAUGCUUCAAAGGAAAAUUUUCUUUCGAGUUGUUAGCUUGUUUAAGUUGUUUCUAAUUGUUCAUAUGUUUUCAAACGGUCGUGUGUCGGUUCGAGAAAUUACAUAAACCCGCGUUUGCAGUUGCUGUCACUAAUGAUGAAUUAUUAUCGCAAGUUCGCCGUAAGAACGUACAAUAAAUGAUAGCUCUUCUUUUGUAACAAUGAUUGAUUGCUUUGCUAGAUUCAUUAGCGGUUUGUUCGCUCGCGAGUCCCAUUGUGAUACCGAGUCCACGUGUUGAUUAAAAUAAACUAUGUGGUAGAUUGGAAUUGUACACGACACAGAGCGAUAACAGGUGCAAAGCUUAUUAAAUGAUUGCAUAAUUUGACGUCGAAGAAAACGUGCACGACCUCAACCUCGAUCCGAUGCGCGCAAUUCUUUUUAAUCUUCGAUUAAAUCAUCGGACCUCUUUGGAUUAACCGUCAAGUAACCGUUCGAUUGUCUGGGAUCUUAACGUUAACAUACCUAUAUGAUUUAAAAAAUGAUAAAAAUAGAAUUCAAGAAACAUUCGUUGGACUUGCUGUAAUAGCAAUUUAUUUACAUCUGAUUAUAUUUACAUACGAAUAAUUUACAAUUGUUGCAGAUUCAAUGAUAAAUUUGCUUGGUCUAGAAUUCCAUAAGGUGUUCCGCUGGCAAUGUACAUACUGAACUAUUUUACAAUCUAUAUUUUCGAGUAAUACUGUGCACAUUGACCUCUUAUUCCUUCAAUGUUGUAAAUUUUACCAUAAGUAUUAAUUCUAGGAUAUCAUCUUAAUGGUUCAAUUGAUAUUAACACAGAAUACUUUCGAUAUAUCUGAUAGAUAAACUGUGGAUGUUUGUAUAAUUUUGUUUCGGUGAUAAAAGUGUAAACAUGCAUGAACAUCCAUAGUUCAUCAACAAGUAUUAUAAUACUGGAACGAAAUUAUAGCUUGCGGGAAGUAUAUUGAUGGAAAUUGUUAAAAACUUGCGCAUCCUAUAGUGCAAUAUAAUACGAUUUUGUGUGUGUGUGUGUGUGUGUGUGUGUGUGUGUGUGUGUGUGUGUGUGUGUGUGUGUGUGUAUUCUAAGUACACAGGACUCAGAAGUUCGUUGAGGCUAACUAUGUACUUUCAUUAUCACAGAAAUUACUUUUGUCUCUUUCUCAUUUAUAUGUGUUUAAAGGCGUCACGUGUGACCGUGAAACGCAUGACGCAUGCGUCAUCUACAGUGAAAAAGGGAUUUUCUAUACUUAACACUCCCUCUACUAUUCGUGUGACAUGAAAUAAUGAAUAAAUCUCGGAAAUGGUUUAAUCUGUAAAGAAAAAUAAAAAAAUCAUUAAUCCUCGGAA